CCUGGAACUCACUAUACCAGGCUGGCCUCAAAUGCACAGAUAGCUGCCUGCCUCUGCCUCCUGAGUCCUGGAA
rnacentral:miRNA from 1 species